rnacentral:rRNA from 1 species
UACGUAGGUGGCGAGCGUUGUCCGGAAUUACUGGGUGUAAAGGGCGCGUAGGCGGGGAUGCAAGUCAGAUGUGAAAUUCCGGGGCUUAACCCCGGGGCUGCAUCUGAAACUGUAUCUCUUGAGUGCUGGAGAGGAAAGCGGAAUUCCUAGUGUAGCGGUGAAAUGCGUAGAUAUUAGGAGGAACACCAGUGGCGAAGGCGGCUUUCUGGACAGUAACUGACGCUGAGGCGCGAAAGCGUGGGGAGCAAACAGG